rnacentral:rRNA from 1 species
AUUGAACGCUGGCGGCAGGCCUAACACAUGCAAGUCGAACGGUAACAGGAAGCAGCUUGCUGCUUUGCUGACGAGUGGCGGACGGGUGAGUAAUGUCUGGGAAACUGCCUGAUGGAGGGGGAUAACUACUGGAAACGGUAGCUAAUACCGCAUAACGUCGCAAGACCAAAGAGGGGGACCUUAGGGCCUCUUGCCAUCGGAUGUGCCCAGAUGGGAUUAGCUAGUAGGUGGGGUAACGGCUCACCUAGGCGACGAUCCCUAGCUGGUCUGAGAGGAUGACCAGCCACACUGGAACUGAGACACGGUCCAGACUCCUACGGGAGGCAGCAGUGGGGAAUAUUGCACAAUGGGCGCAAGCCUGAUGCAGCCAUGCCGCGUGUAUGAAGAAGGCCUUCGGGUUGUAAAGUACUUUCGGCGGGGAGGAAGGGAGUAAAGUUAAUACCUUUGCUCAUUGACGUUACCCGCAGAAGAAGCACCGGCUAACUCCGUG